rnacentral:ncRNA from 1 species
UGCACGAGUAGAAGCGUUCAGCGGUGCGGCACAGCCUGGCAGGCUGGCCACCGUCGGAAAUUGCUCAGCGU